rnacentral:rRNA from 1 species
AUUGAACGCUGGCGGCAUGCCUUACACAUGCAAGUCGAACGGCAGCAUGGAAGAGCUUGCUCUUCUGAUGGCGAGUGGCGAACGGGUGAGUAAAGCAUCGGAACGUACCGUGUAGUGGGGGAUAACGUAGCGAAAGUUACGCUAAUACCGCAUACGCACUGAGGUGGAAAGCAGGGGAUCGCAAGACCUUGCGCUAUACGAGCGGCCGAUGUCAGAUUAGCUGGUUGGUAGGGUAAAGGCCUACCAAGGCGACGAUCUGUAGCGGGUCUGAGAGGAUGAUCCGCCACACUGGGACUGAGACACGGCCCAGACUCCUACGGGAGGCAGCAGGGGGGAAUUUUGGACAAUGGGGGAAACCCUGAUCCAGCCAUGCCGCGUGAGUGAAGAAGGCCUUCGGGUUGUAAAGCUCUUUCGGCUGGGAAGAAAUCGCACAGGCUAAUACUCUGUGUGGAUGACGGUACCAGCAUAAGAAGCACCGGCUAACUACGUGCCAGCAGCCGCCGUAA